ACAGAUCUAGCUCAAUGGCAGAGCACGUGCCUCGGACGCACGGCGGUCCCGGUUCGAAUCCGGGGGUCUGUA
rnacentral:tRNA from 1 species